rnacentral:rRNA from 1 species
CAGACGAUGCGUCAUGCAUAUCAAUAAGCGGAGGAAAAGAAACUAACAAGGAUUCCCCUAGUAACGGCGAGUGAAGCGGGAAGAGCUCAAAUUUGAAAUCUUAAAGGGUUUCCCUUUACGAAUUGUAGUUUAAAGAAGUGUUUUCUGUUGAGGUUUUGGUAAAAGUUCUUUGGAAUAGGACAUCAUAGAGGGUGAGAAUCCCGUAUUUGACCUUUACUUUCAACUUUGUGAUACACUUUCAAAGAGUCGGAUUGUUUGGGAAUGCAGUCCAAAAUGGGUGGUAAAUUUCAUCUAAAGCUAAAUAUUGGCGAGAGACCGAUAGCGAACAAGUACCGUGAGGGAAAGAUGAAAAGAACUUUGAAAAGAGAGUUAAACAGUACGUGAAAUUGUCAAAAGGGAAGCGUUUGACACCAGUGUUGUUUUUCUGAAAAUCAAUUAAAGAACUGUUUAUGCUAAGUUGUUUAGACUUUAUCAGCUAACUGUUUAGUUUUGAGCUUUUCUUUAAUGCACUUUUCAGUUAACAAGUCAACAUCAAUUUCUUUUGCUGUAAAAAAGCUUGAGGAAGGUGGCUUGAGAUUCGUCUUAAGUGUUUAUAGCCUCUUGCCUAUGCAGUCGGAGAGAUUGAGGUCUGCAGCGUAGAUCCUUCGGGGCUAAAUGCAUUUGUGCUAAGUUAUAGCAUUUUAUAGACAACUUGUUGACUAUGAUUUGUCUUGUAGCUUACUCGCUUAUGUUAUUUUACCUACGCUUAGGAUGUUGAAGUCAUCGUAUCGCGC